GACUACUACAGCUUGUUGAGGGAGAUGAGACUACUACAGCUUGUUGAGGUAGAUGGGACUACUACAGCUUGUUGAGGUAGAUUGGACUACUACAGCUUGUUGAGGUAGAUGGGACUACUACAGCUUGUUGAGGGAGAUGAGACUACUACAGCUUGUUGAGGUAGAUGAGACUACUACAGCUUGUUGAGGUAGAUGAGACUACUACAGCUUGUUGAGGUAGAUGGGACUACUACAGCUUAUUGAGGUAGAUGGGACUACUACAGCUUAUUGAGGUAGAUGGGACUACUACAGCUUAUUGAGGUAGAUGGGACUACUACAGCUUAUUGAGGUAGAUGGGACUACUACAGCUUAUUGAGGUAGAUGGGACUACUACAGCUUGUUGAGGGAGAUGGGACUACUACAGCUUGUUGAGGGAGAUGGGACUACUACAGCUUGUUGAGGGAGAUGAGACUACUACAGCUUGUUGAGGGAGAUGAGACUACUACAGCUUGUUGAGGGAGAUGGGACUACUACAGCUUGUUGAGGGAGAUGGGACUACUACAGCUUGUUGAGGUAGAUGGGACUACUACAGCUUGUUGAGGGAGAUGGGACUACUACAGCUUGUUGAGGGAGAUGAGAC